ACUCACGGUAUUUAUUUAUACAUACACUUUAAAAAUCACGUAUUCUAACACUUUGCUGUUUCCUUCCAAAGUUUUGAAUAGAAUUCAGUUGCUCCAAGACACACAUUCAUUUACAUGUGGGUUUUUUUUCUUUACUAAAAUACAUUUACUUUUAGUAUUCUCAAGUGCAAAAGAGAGUUGAAUCUUCUAUUGCAUAUGAAAUGGAGACUAGUCUUCCACAAAGAGUAAAAUGAAGUUUUGUAAUGGCCAUCAUCUGUAAUUGCUUACAAUGACAGCAUAAACUCUAGGAUUUUGUUUUAACUUCAUGGCUACAUGGGUAAAGUUAGGUUUGAAAAUCAUUUCAAAAACAAAAUUUAUCAAACAAAAAACCUGGACAGGUUUUUAUUUUUUAUUUUUUUGAGAUGGAGUUUUGCUCUGUUGCCCAGGCUGAGGCAGGAGAAUUACUUGAACCUGGGAAGCAGAGGUUGCAGUGAGCCAAGAUUGUGCCACUGCACUCCAACCUGGUGACAGAGUGAGACUCCAUCAAAAAAAAAAAAAAAAAAAAAAAAAAAAGAGAAAAAAGAGAUAGAAUUUUGGAAACCCAGAGAGGCCAUAACAGGGAAAAGAAAAAGCAGGCCAGGUGCGGUGGCUCACACUUGUAAUCCUAGCACUUUGGGAGGCCAAGGUGGGUAGACUGCCUGAGCUCAGGAGUUCGAGACCAGCCUGGGCAACAACAGUGAAACCCCAUCUCUACUAAAAUACAAAAAAUUAGCUGGUCAUGGCAGCGUGUGCCUGUAAUCCCAGCUACUCAGGAGGCUGAGACAGGAGAAUCACUUGAACCCGGGAGGUGGAGGUUGCAGUGAGCCGAGAUUGUGCCACUGUACUCCAGCCUGGGCAACAGAGCGAGACUCCAUCUCAAAAAAAAGAAAAAGAAGAAAAAGAAGAAACCGGGUUUCUCAACUCCAUGUCCUGUGCUUUUCUGACUCUGCAAGAGCCAAGAGGUGUCUUCCUAGGAUGGUCACAGGGAGGUAAUUCCCCCAGCAUGGAGGGUCUGAGUCAAGGGUAAGCUCUGUGCAAGGUGUAUGGCGGGGCGGGAGAAGGUUACCUUGCCCAUAACCUUGCUGCUUACUCCGGUGAGAAAAGAGAAGCAAUCAGAAGAGCAUGUCCACCUGCUCCCCUCACUGCCUCUGCCUACCCACCCGCCUACCUAUCUACAUUUGCCAAGUACUCCGCCAGCCCUCUCCCUAUGAUCUGCCGUGUUUCUGUAGGCCUGAGCUCUACAUAUGCACUACAUCCCAUUCCCUUUGGCUAGCCGUAGUUUAAAAGUAUGUCCACAAAUUCCUUCUGAAGUUGCCAAAUCUAACAAAUAAAAAUACAGGUCAUACAUUAACUUUGAGUUUCAGAUAAAGUCAUUAUUUAGUGUAAGAAUUCCCUAUGCAAUAUUUGGAAUACACCUAUACUAAUAAGCCUUUGUUUAUCUUUAUUUGGAUGUCUGGCCACCCUACUUUGUACUUAGUGACUCCCUUCUAACAAAUCAGAGUAAGGGAUGACAUGCAACUUCUAAUACUAGGUCACAAAAGACACUGUGGUUCCCAUCUUAGUCUCUUGCUCUCUUGGAUGGCUUGCUCUGGGGGAAGUCAGCCAUGCUGUGAGGACAUUCAAGCAGCCCUGUGGAGAGGCCAUGUGGCAAGGAACAAUGGCCGCCUGCCAAAAGCCAUGUGUGGAAGCUUGGAAGAGGGUUCUUCUAGCCCCGGACAAGCUUUUAGAUGACUGUACCCUCAGGAGGAACUUGGACAGAAUCACCCUGCUAAGCUGGAUUCCUGAUCGACUGAAACUGUGAGCUAACUUGCUUUUAAUUUUUAAACCUCUAAGUAGUGGGUAGUUUGUUAUGCAGCGACAGAGCACCACCACACGGACUUCCUGACAUCACUCCAGGAGCUGCCCUCUGUCUGGCAUCAUCGCUUUCAGUCUUUCCUGAUCAUUCCCAGGGGCACACAGACAGGCUAUAAUAUCUACCCUCUUAAAGAAAGCUCUCUCUUGAUCUCAGAUGUCCUAUUUUCUGUUCCCCUGUAUCAGCUGUUGUGCAUAAUCGCUAUUUCUGAUUCCUUUUCCCCAUUCUCUCCUCAACUAUUCCAAUUAGGCUUUUCAGCAUUCCCAGCCCCUCUCAAACAGCUGCAGUCAAAACAUUUAAUACCCCUCUUGUAUUAAAGCCAGAGUUCAAUCUUCAGGCUUCAUCAAACUUGACCUAAUUAUUCAUCUAAUAAAUAUUGAUAAGUAGCUACGAGGUGCCAGACAUUGUUCUAGAUGCUGGAUACACAGCAAUGAGCAAAACGCAUCCAAACCCACAUCCCUACCCUUACUAGGCUGCUAUGGAAGGGAGUGGGGCUGGCGAAUCAACCAUAAACAAGUAAGCCACUAUGAAGAUUUAUGAAUGAAACAAUAGGACGUCUGGGGAUCAAAUAUUUCAAAAUAAUGGGACAAUGGGUAGAAGUGAGGAUGAAACAGGGUCAGCUACUGUUGACUACUGAAGCAGGUGCUGGGAAUAUGGAAGCACAUUAAAUUUGUCUCUACUUUGGUAUAUGUUAGACAUUGUCCAUAGUAGUCUUUUUAAAAAGCACAUUGCAUAUCAUCUCAUCUGCAAUCCAGGAGAUGGGGUGUGACAAUCUAAAUAGCGUGGUCAUGACCUCAUGGGGUGGGUGAGAGAGUGACAGGAGAUGGCUGGGGAAGAGCAUUCCAUGCAGAGGGAAUCACAACUACAAAGGCCUUGGCUUAAGAGAAUGCCUGAGUGUUCUAGAAAUGACAGGGAGGCCAGCAUGCAGAGGACGAGCGGACGGAGGGGAGAGCACUGGACAGGCCAGCCGGGGCCACGUGGUGCCUUGUGGGCUGCUAUGGGGACAUGGACUGUUACUCUGAGUAAGAACAUGAACCACAGGGUGUUUC
rnacentral:lncRNA from 1 species